rnacentral:rRNA from 1 species
UACGAAGGGGGGCUAGCGUUGUUCGGAAUUACUGGGCGUAAAGGGCGCGUAGGCGGGAUGGCAAGUCGGUCGUGAAAUCCCUCGGCUCAACCGAGGAACGUCGAUCGAUACUGCUGUUCUUGAGGAUUGCAGAGGAGACUGGAAUUCCCGGUGUAGCGGUGAAAUGUGUAGAGAUCGGGAGGAACACCGGUGGCGAAGGCGGGUCUCUGGGCCGAUACUGACGCUGAGGAGCGAAAGCGUGGGGAGCGAACAGG